rnacentral:rRNA from 1 species
GAUGAACGCUAGCGAUAGGCUUAACACAUGCAAGUCGAGGGGCAGCAUAGGAGUAGCAAUACUUUGGUGGCGACCGGCGCACGGGUGAGUAACACGUAUGCAACCUACCCAUAACUGGGGAAUAACCCGUCGAAAGGCGGACUAAUACCGCAUAACAACAUUGAUCCGCAUGGGGAGAUGUUUUAAGAUUUAUCGGUUAUGGAUGGGCAUGCGUUCCAUUAGGUAGUUGGCGGGGCAACGGCCCACCAAGCCUGCGAUGGAUAGGGGUUCUGAGAGGAAGGUCCCCCACACUGGUACUGAGACACGGACCAGACUCCUACGGGAGGCAGCAGUGAGGAAUAUUGGUCAAUGGGCGAGAGCCUGAACCAGCCAAAUCGCGUGAAGGAUUAAGGUAUUAUGUAUUGUAAACUUCUUUUACAGGGGAAUAAAGUGCAUCACGUGUGGUGUUUUGUAUGUACCCUAGGAAUAAGGAUCGGCUAACUCCGUGCCAGCCGCCGCUGUAACAC